UACUUUGAUAGGCCGGGUGUGUAAGCGCAGCGAUGCGUUGAGCUAACCGGUACUAAUGAACCGUGAGGCUUAACCUUACAACGCCGAAG
rnacentral:rRNA from 1 species